rnacentral:rRNA from 2 species
GACCGAUAGUGAACCAGUACCGUGAGGGAAAGGCGAAAAGAACCCCGGCGAGGGGAGUGAAAAAGAACCUGAAACCGUGUACGUACAAGCAGUGGGAGCCCCACCACUAAGCCAGUGGUGAACUCCACAUCCGCAUCCUUUGCUGAGGAUACGGUUAACGGAGCGAAAGCGACGUUCAACCGCAAAACAAGCAGAGGGGGCUUAGUGGUGGGGUGACUGCGUACCUUUUGUAUAAUGGGUCAGCGACUUAUAUUCUGUAGCAAGGUUAACCGUAUAGGGGAGCCGGAGGGAAACCGAGUCUUAAUUGGGCG